GUAAUUGAAGAGGUUUGGAAAGACCCACCACAGAAGGUAAUAGUCCUGUAUGUUAAACGAGAAGACUUUAGAUAUGAUCCAGAGUACCACGGGACACGUGAAACCCUGUGGGAAGCAGGAGGGACCACCCUCCAAGGCUAAAUACUACCUAGUGACCGAUAGCGUAUAGUACCGUGAGGGAAAGGUGAAAAGAACCCCGGGAGGGGAGUGAAAUAGAACCUGAAACCCUGCACUUACAAGCUGUGGAAGCACAUUUCUUGUGUGACCGCGUACUUUUUGUAGAACGGGCCAACGAGUUACGUUAAGUAG
rnacentral:rRNA from 1 species